rnacentral:lncRNA from 1 species
AGAUUAUUUCCUUAAUAACAUUUAUCCCGCAAAUUGUUUUAGUAACGUUAUUUGGUUUUAAAUAUGCAAAACAUAAUUUAGAAUUAUCUAUGUUUUUACAAGUAAAAUAAUAUAAGAAUACAUUUUUUGCAUUUUUUUUAUAUUAUUCUAAUAAUAAAUUUAUAAAUAUUUGAAUAAUAUUUUUAUUUGGUUUUUAUUUUUUUCUUUUUUAUUUAAGACUAUGGCGUUUAUUACCAUGAACAAAGUAUGCACGUCUCAGUACUUUAUUUGGUGCAUCCCAUUUUUACCCAUUGUCCUUGUGACUAUAACCUUGAACAAGGAAAACUUAAUUCUUAUUUCCUGCGCAAUUCUCUUUUUUACUUUGUCAAAGUCUCAUUGGCUUUUUUUGGGCAUAUUAUCUUGAAUUUAAAGGAUAUAACACCUUUUUACAAGUAUAACUUUAAUCACUUAUUAUUUUUAUAAAAAUAACAUUGUUGCAUUGAUGAAAAAUCGUUA